rnacentral:rRNA from 1 species
AAUGUGUCAGCGACUUAUAUUCUGUAGCAAGGUUAACCGAAUAGGGGAGCCGGAGGGAAACCGAGUCUUAAUUGGGCGUUAAGUUGCAGGGUAUAGACCCGAAACCCGGUGAUCUAGCCAUGGGCAGGUUGAAGGUUGGGUAACACUAACUGGAGGACCGAACCGACUAAUGUUGAAAAAUUAGCGGAUGACCUGUGGCUGGGGGUGAAAGGCCAAUCAAACCGGGAGAUAGCUGGUUCUCCCCGAAAGCUAUUUAGGUAGCGCCUCGUGAAUUCAUCUCCGGGGGUAGAGCACUGUUUCGGCUAGGGGGCCAUCCCGGCUUACCAACCCGAUGCAAACUGCGAAUACCGGAGAAUGUUAUCACGGGAGACACACGGCGGGUGCUAACGUCCGUCGUGAAGAGGGAAACAACCCAGACCGCCAGCUAAGGUCCCAAAGUCAUGGUUAAGUGGGAAACGAUGUGGGAAGGCCCAGACAGCCAGGAUGUUGGCUUAGAAGCAGCCAUCAUUUAAAGAAAGCGUAAUAGCUCACUGGUCGAGUCGGCCUGCGCGGAAGAUGUAACGGGGCUAAACCAUGCACCGAAGCUGCGGCAGCGACACUGUGUGUUGUUGGGUAGGGGAGCGUUCUGUAAGCCUGCGAAGGUGGCCUGUGAGGGUUGCUGGAGGUAUCAGAAGUGCGAAUGCUGACAUAAGUAACGAUAAAGCGGGUGAAAAGCCCGCUCGCCGGAAGACCAAGGGUUCCUGUCCAACGUUAAUCGGGGCAGGGUGAGUCGACCCCUAAGGCGAGGCCGAAAGGCGUAGUCGAUGGGAAACGGGUUAAUAUUCCCGUACUUGGUGUUACUGCGAAGGGGGGACGGAGAAGGCUAUGUUGGCCGGGCGACGGUUGUCCCGGUUUAAGCGUGUAGGUGUGUGUUCCAGGUAAAUCCGGUUCACUUUAACACUGAGGCGUGACGACGAGGCACUACGGUGCUGAAGCAACAAAUGCCCUGCUUCCAGGAAAAGCCUCUAAGCAUCAGGUAACAUCAAAUCGUACCCCAAACCGACACAGGUGGUCAGGUAGAGAAUACCAAGGCGCUUGAGAGAACUCGGGUGAAGGAACUAGGCAAAAUGGUGCCGUAACUUCGGGAGAAGGCACGCUGACACGUAGGUGAAGUGAUUUACUCAUGGAGCUGAAGUCAGUCGAAGAUACCAGCUGGCUGCAACUGUUUAUUAAAAACACAGCACUGUGCAAACACGAAAGUGGACGUAUACGGUGUGACGCCUGCCCGGUGCCGGAAGGUUAAUUGAUGGGGUCAGCGCAAGCGAAGCUCCUGAUCGAAGCCCCGGUAAACGGCGGCCGUAACUAUAACGGUCCUAAGGUAGCGAAAUUCCUUGUCGGGUAAGUUCCGACCUGCACGAAUGGCGUAAUGAUGGCCAGGCUGUCUCCACCCGAGACUCAGUGAAAUUGAACUCGCUGUGAAGAUGCAGUGUACCCGCGGCAAGACGGAAAGACCCCGUGAACCUUUACUAUAGCUUGACACUGAACAUUGAGCCUUGAUGUGUAGGAUAGGUGGGAGGCUUUGAAGUGUGGACGCCAGUCUGCAUGGAGCCGACCUUGAAAUACCACCCUUUAAUGUUUGAUGUUCUAACGUGGACCCGUUACCCGGGUUGCGGACAGUGUCUGGUGGGUAGUUUGACUGGGGCGGUCUCCUCCUAAAGAGUAACGGAGGAGCACGAAGGUUGGCUAAUCCUGGUCGGACAUCAGGAGGUUAGUGCAAUGGCAUAAGCCAGCUUGACUGCGAGCGUGACGGCGCGAGCAGGUGCGAAAGCAGGUCAUAGUGAUCCGGUGGUUCUGAAUGGAAGGGCCAUCGCUCAACGGAUAAAAGGUACUCCGGGGAUAACAGGCUGAUACCGCCCAAGAGUUCAUAUCGACGGCGGUGUUUGGCACCUCGAUGUCGGCUCAUCACAUCCUGGGGCUGAAGUAGGUCCCAAGGGUAUGGCUGUUCGCCAUUUAAAGUGGUACGCGAGCUGGGUUUAGAACGUCGUGAGACAGUUCGGUCCCUAUCUGCCGUGGGCGCUGGAGAACUGAGGGGGGCUGCUCCUAGUACGAGAGGACCGGAGUGGACGCAUCACUGGUGUUCGGGUUGUCAUGCCAAUGGCACUGCCCGGUAGCUAAAUGCGGAAGAGAUAAGUGCUGAAAGCAUCUAAGCACGAAACUUGCCCCGAGAUGAGUUCUCCCUGAGACUUAGAGUCUCCUGAAGGAACGUUGAAGACGACGACGUUGAUAGGCCGGGUGUGUAAGCGCAGCGAUGCGUUGAGCUAACCGGUACUAAUGAACCGUGAGGCUUAACCUUACAACGCCGAAG